rnacentral:rRNA from 1 species
GAGCUUGCUCCACCGAAAGAAAAAGAGUGGCGAACGGGUGAGUAACACGUGGGUAACCUGCCCAUCAGAAGGGGAUAACACUUGGAAACAGGUGCUAAUACCGUAUAACACUAUUUUCCGCAUGGAAGAAAGUUGAAAGGCGCUUUUGCGUCACUGAUGGAUGGACCCGCGGUGCAUUAGCUAGUUGGUGAGGUAACGGCUCACCAAGGCAACGAUGCAUAGCCGACCUGAGAGGGUGAUCGGCCACACUGGGACUGAGACACGGCCCAGACUCCUACGGGAGGCAGCAGUAGGGAAUCUUCGGCAAUGGACGAAAGUCUGACCGAGCAACGCCGCGUGAGUGAAGAAGGUUUUCGGAUCGUAAAACUCUGUUGUUAGAGAAGAACAAGGAUGAGAGUAAAAUGUUCAUCCCUUGACGGUAUCUAACCAGAAAGCCACGGCUAACUACGUGCCAGCAGCCGCGGUAAUACGUAGGUGGCAAGCGUUGUCCGGAUUUAUUGGGCGUAAAGCGAGCGCAGGCGGUUUCUUAAGUCUGAUGUGA